rnacentral:rRNA from 1 species
GACAGAGGGUGCAAACGUUGUUCGGAAUUACUGGGCGUAAAGCGUGUGUAGGCGGCCGCGACAGUCGGAUGUGAAAAGCCCUGGGCUCAACUCAGGAAGUGCACCCGAUACGUACGUGGCUCGAGUGACCGGAGAGGUUGGUGGAAUUCUCGGUGUAGAGGUGAAAUUCGUAGAUAUCGAGAGGAACACCUGUGGCGAAGGCGGCCAACUGGACGAGUACUGACGCUGAGACACGAAAGCGUGGGGAGCAAACAGG